GAUGAACGCUGGCGGCGUGCCUAAUACAUGCCAGUCGAGCGAACGGACGAGAAGCUUGCUUCUCUGAUGUUAGCGGCGGACGGGUGAGUAACACGUGGAUAACCUACCUAUAAGACUGGGAUAACUUCGGGAAACCGGAGCUAAUACCGGAUAAUAUUUUGAACCGCAUGGUUCAAAAGUGAAAGACGGUCUUGCUGUCACUUAUAGAUGGAUCCGCGCUGCAUUAGCUAGUUGGUAAGGUAACGGCUUACCAAGGCAACGAUGCAUAGCCGACCUGAGAGGGUGAUCGGCCACACUGGAACUGAGACACGGUCCAGACUCCUACGGGAGGCAGCAGUAGGGAAUCUUCCGCAAUGGGCGAAAGCCUGACGGAGCAACGCCGCGUGAGUGAUGAAGGUCUUCGGAUCGUAAAACUCUGUUAUUAGGGAAGAACAUAUGUGUAAGUAACUGUACACAUCUUGACGGUACCUAAUCAGAAAGCCACGGCUAACUACGUG
rnacentral:rRNA from 1 species